UGUAACACAGAAAGUUCGUCUGACUACACACAGCGUUGUUUCCGCUGUAAUAUCAACUUUUCACGGAGAAACGUCAAAGAAUCUCAUGCAAGCUCACGACCCGCACGCUGGAGCUUGGACGUUACAAAGAGACUUGGCACGGACACUAGCAAAGGGCCACAAGCUGGAAUCGAACUGUACUCACUGCAUGCAGCAGCAACAAUAAAGGCCUUUCAUCAUCAUCUUAAAUUUCCAGAUGAGAGGAAUUAGUGGCCCUCACCCCGCCACUUGGCUUCUCUUCACGCCUCGGCCAUUCCUCCUCAUUACGGCGUCUCAGGACCAUGUGGUCCGGCGCGAUGCCACAGCAGAACGCGGCUAACUCGUUCUCAUUCCGCCUGAUGAACGAUACGCACCCUCAGUGGCAACAGCGACACUGAUUUUGCUGCCUUUAAAAGGGGUGAACGGUGCACAAAAGGACCGGCCCAAUUCUGCCACAAAAACUCCCAGAGGACCACACAAACAAGAUAACAAGAGAGAGACAUCACAGGACACGUGAGUCUCACUUUGCCCUCCAUAGUCAUUAUGACA